rnacentral:lncRNA from 10 species
CUUUUCAGAGAAGGUCUCGAAUCCUGAAGACAGACUUCGAGGGGAUGAUGCAGCAAGAAGACCCACACCAGAUGAGGGCGCCUUGAUAUUGGAUUUCCCAGCCUCCAGAACUAAGCCUGGGACUUGCCUCUGUGAUCUGGUGCUUUGGAGGGCCUUGGGCCUCAGGGCUAGCAAGGUCCCUUUCUGGAGAUUCCAGUUCCUCUGCCCGCCCUCCUUUACCUCUUUCUCCUCACACAUCUGUCUGAGGGAUGGGGAUGAGGGCUGCCAACCAAUGUUACCACUUGACAGACCACAAGAGGGCUGGUUCCAGUGCCUCCCUUGUUCAGCUGCUGACACUGCAGCUUGGCAGUCAUUGAAGGCAAUAUUUAGCUCCUACAUCUGACCUGAUUGGAAGAUCAGGCUUCUGUCGUCCUGGUUUCCUGGCCUUGGAUAGUUCUUCACUAACUUUUAUUCAUUAAGGCAGUGGGCAGAAAGCAGCAGAACCCUGUUUUUUCUUUUUUUGGGGUUUUUGUUGUUGUUGUUGUUGUUGUUUUGUUUUUUUUUGAAACAGGGUCUCCCUCUGUCACCCAUGCUGGAGUGCAGAGGUUCUGUCAUAACUCACUAUAGCCUCGACCUCCUGGGCUCAAGCAAUCUUCCCACCUCAGCCUCCUGAGUAGCUAGGGACCACAGGUGCAUGCCACUAUGCCUAACUAAUUUUUGUAUUUUUUUGUAGAGAUGGGGUUUUGCCAUGUUGCCCAUGCUGGUUUUGAACUCUAGAACUCAAGCAAUCAGCUGGCCUCAGCCUCCCAAAGUACUGAGAUUACAGGUGUGAGCCACUGUGCCUGGCCAGAACCUGUUUUUUGUUUGUUUGUUUUUGUUUUGUUUGUUUGAGGCGGAGUUUUGCUCUUGUUGCCCAGGCUGGAAUGCAAUGGCGCGAUCUCGGCUCACCGCAACCUCUGCCUCCUGGAUUCAAACAAUUCUCCUGCCUCAGCCUCCCAACCAGCUGGGAUUACAGGCAUGCGCCACCACGCCCAGCUAAUUUUGUAUUUUUAGUAGAGAUGGGAUUUCACCAUGUAGGUCAGGCUGGUCUCGAACUCCCAACCUCAGGUGAUCUGCCCGCCUCGGCCUCCCCAAGUGCUGGGAUUACAGACGUGAGCCACCGCGCCCAGCCCAGAACCUGUUUUUUAAUUUAAAAUUCUUAUUUAAAAGUUCUGUACAUUUUGAGAAUUCUUAAAACCUUCACACAUUUAAUUUAAAUAGCAGCAGAGAUAUCUGGUUCCUGGUAAUGUGAACAGGAUGGCUUGAUACAAGCUCCCUGCUCACUGCAUUUCCUCACUUCCUAAAUUCCUAGGGAUGUACCUCCAGUGAAUAAUAGUUUUUACCACCUGUACAUAUACAGGGUCAGCGGCCAUGGCUCCUUGCUCACCCAUUAACUAAGAUCACAUCCUACAUACAGUACCAGACUUAGAGCCAGAGCCCUGGUCAUGGCCUCCUAGGUUCUCACACUUGACUUUUACUCAAUCAUUUCACCAUUUAGGCUUUAUAAAAAGGGGAGACUGGCCGGGCGCGGCGGCUCAUGCCUGUAAUCCCAGCACUUUGAGAGGCUGAGGGAGGUGGAUGACCUGAGGUCAGGAGUUUGAGACCACCCAACAUGGUGAAACCCUGUCUCUACUAAAAAUACAAAAAUUAGCCAGGUAUAGUGGCACAUGCCUGUAGUCCCAGCUACUCUGAGGCAGCUGAGGCAGGAGAAUCGCUUGAACCUGGGAGGCGGAGGUUGCAGUGAGCCGAGAUCAUGCCACUGUACUCCAGCCUGGGUGACACAGUGAAACUCCAUCUCAAAUAAAUAAAUAAAUAAAAUGGGGGAAUUAUAUGACUGUUAGGGUCCUCCAGAUCUGAUACCCAGGACUGUAAUCUAAAGACUUGAUUAUGUUCAUUAAUACAUGGCAAUUUCAUUCCUUUCCUAAGAAUUACUAUCCAAAGAUCAUCCCUAAGCCCUUCCUACAAGAAACUGCCCCUUUUACAGAAUGAAUAAAGUUGUCCUAGAUUCCCGUUUUUUCCUCACUUUUUCUCAUAUCUCUAAGUGACAGUAUCCGGAGACAGCUCAGAAAGCUGGAUUUUUAGCUUUUCGUCAUAGGGCUUGUAUAUGUACAUGCAUGCAUGCACAAAUGUAUGUAUAUGUUCAUUCUUAAAGGGAUAUGGGCCAUGGGCACCUUCACUCUGUGGCCCCCCACCUCCCACCAGCCCUACUUGAAUUUUAGUAAAUAGUAAUUAAAUGCCAGGACCAGGCACAGUGGCUCACACCUGUAACCCCAGCAUUUUUGGAGGCUGAGGUGGGUGGAUCACCUGAGGUCAGGAGUUCGAGACCAGCCUGGCCAACAUGGUGAAACCCUAUCUCUACUAAAAAUACAAAAAUUAGCCGGGUUUGGUGGCACACAACUGUAAUCCCAGCUACUUGGGUGGCUGAGGCAGGAGAAUCACUUGAACCUGAGAGACGGAUGUUGCAGUGAGCCAAGAUCGCACAACUGCACUCCAGCCUAGGCGACAGAGCAAGACUCCAUCUCGAAAGAAAGAGGGAAGGAAGGAAGGGAGGAAGGAAGGAAGGAAGGAAGGAAGGAAGGAAGGAAGGAAAAAGAAGAGAAAAGGAACUCCAUCUCUACUAAAAAUACAAAAAAAUUAGCCAGGCAUGGUGGCGGGCACCUGUAAUCUCAGCUACUUCAGGAGUCUGAGACAGGAGAAUUGCUUGAACCUGGGAGGCCCUUGCAGUGAGCUGAGAUUGUGCCACUGCACUCAGCCUGGGCAACAAGAGUGAAACUCCGCCUCAAUGAUAAAUAAAUAAAUAAAUAAAUAAAUAAAUAAAUAAAUAAAUAAAUGCCAGGAUGCCUAGAAGAACAAAAGAGUAUGUACUAAGAGGCCAGAUAUAUGAGUGCAGCUGUAGUGAUAAGGAGGCCAUUGGGAUAGCCAAUGUCACAUAGGUCUAAAGUUUGGUUUUAGCUAGAGCUUUCUUCUACCCUAAUACUGCCCCCAUGUCCUGACAGCGGGUAUUGCAGCAAAUCCUGGACUGCAGCCAGAAGCUCUGGUCUCUACAUCAGCUUCUCCAUUUGAAACAUCUCAGAAUUUGAAUUUUGACUACUCUGGUGUUAACAUCAAAAUGCAUUUCAUGGGCCGGGCCUGGUGGCUCACGCCUGUAAUGCAGCACUUUGGGAGGCCAAGGCAGGCGGAUCACGAAGUCAGGGGAUCGAGACCAUCCUGGCCAACAUGGUGAAACCCUGUCUCUAUUAAAAAUACAAAAAAUUAGCCGGCGUGGUGGCAGGCACCUGUAGUCCCAGCUAUUCAGGAGGCCUCAGCAGGAGAAUUGCUUGAAGCCAGGAGGUAGAGGUUGCAGUGAGCUGAGAUCGUGCCACUGCACUCCAUCCUGGGCGACAGAGCGAGUUUCCAUCUCAAAAAACCAAAAUCAAACAAACAAAAAAACCCACAAAAAACCAAAAUGCAUUUUAUAGUGUUAAAGAAAACAUAUUUAUGUGGCAAUUUCUACACAUUUUUCUUCUGCAUUACUUCAUUUAAUCCUUCUCUCAAUCCUGAGAGCAAAGGACAGAAAAUGUUGUUCCCACUGUUUUCCACUGUUUGGUUUUGGUUUGUUUCCUUUCUUUUUUUUUCUUUGAGACAGGCUCUUGCUCUGUCACUCAAGCUGGAAUGCAGUGGCAUGAUCAUAGCUCACUGUAGCCUUGACUUCUUGGGCUCAAGUGAUCCCACCUCAGCCUCCCAAGUAGCUGGGACUACAGGCACACACCACCACAUCUGGCUAAUUCUUUUUUAUUUUUAGUAUAGACGAGGUCUCACUAUGUGACCAGGCUGGUCUCCAACUCCUGAGCUGAAGCUAUCCUCCUGCCUCAGCCUCCCAAAGUGCUGGGAGAUCUGGCCCUUGUUUUUUGUUUUUGUUUUUGUUUUUUAUGAGAUGGGUGGCUGUUGCCCAGACUGGAGUCCCGUGACACGAUCACAGCUCACUGCAGCCUCGACCUCCCCAGGCUCAGGUGAUCCUCUCACUUCAGUUUUUUUUGUAUUUUAGUAGAGACAGAGUUUUGCCAUGUUGCCCAGGCUGUUCUCGAAUUCCUGAGCUCAAGGGAUCUGUCUGCCUCAGCCUCCCAAAGUGCUAGGAUUACAGGCAGGAGUGAGCCACUGUGCCUGGCCCCUUGCUGUUUUUUUGUUUUGUUUUGUUUUUGUUUGUUUGUUUUACAGCAAAUAAAAAUGCAGUCUGGAUUUUAAGGGCCACACAGCAGCAAGAACUAAAACCUGGGUCUCCAAGGUCCAAGUCCAGGACUUCUCUAUGACACCCUACUGCAGCCCUUUGCUGGAUACCAUACAAAGCAAAUUGAGCAGAUGUGUUCUCUGCCCUCUGAAAGUUUGGACUCAAAUGGACAGCCACAAUUCUGGCAAACAUAAAAGGACAAAGUGAUUUAGUGUCAACUCACAUACGCAAUAAAUAACUGAGUUAAAUAGAUAAGGAAAGGCAUGUUCACCUGGUCUACUGAUAUUUUUUAAAUUCCAGUUGAGUAGAGAGCAAUGUUAAUAAGACUAAGGUUUUGGGCCAGUCCCAUUUUUGCCUACUUGCUUUGCACCUGGAAAAAUAUUUGUAACUGCAUGCAAACUCUUUCCCCUCCUCGUCUUCAACAAUCUGUAAACUUUCCCUGAGCAGCUACCAAGUGUAACACAAAGUGGGAAUGAAGGACCAUUAAGAAAUCAUCUCUGUGCCAUGCGCGGUGGCUCAAGCCUAUAAUCCCAGCACUUUGGGAGGCCGAGGCGGGUGGAUCACCUGAGCUCGGGAGUUCAAGGCCAGCCUGGCCAAUAUGGUGAAACCCUGUCUCUACUAAAAAUACAAAAAAAAAAAAAAAAAAAAAAUAGCUGGAUAUGAUGGCAUGUACCUGUAGUCCCAGCUACUCAGGAGGCUGAGGCAGAAGAAUCGCUUGAACCCAGGAGGCAGAGGUUGCAGUGAGCUGAGAUUGCUCCAUUGCACUCCAGCCUGAGAAACAAAAGCAAAACUCUAUCCCCACCCCCCCCAAAAAAAAGGAAGGAAAAGAGAAGAAAAAAAGUCAUCUGUGCCCUCGAGCAACAUCUUUAACCAUUCGCCUAAUUCAAACCACUGGGAUGAAAAUGUAUAUCCUGUAUAUACCAUCUCUACUGCUGGGAAAAAAGACACGUCAACUCAAUACCCAUCCUAUUUUUAGACGGCCUGAGAUUCGUCCUUAUCCAUGCAGGGCAGUCGGGUAGGACAAUGAAGAGGUGGACUUCUGAAUUUGAGAGAAAUUGGUCUUAUCCCAGAGAAGUGAGGCCACCACCCACCUGCAAUAGCUUGGCUUCCUGGAUCCCUAAGCAAAGACAGAGUCUUGCUCUGUCACUCGGGCUGGAGUACAGUGACACAAUCACGGUUCACUGCAGCCUGGACCUCCCAGGCUCAAGUGAUCCCCCUGCUGCAGCCUCCUGAGUAGCUGGGACUACAGGCCUGUGCCACCAUGUCCAGGUAAUUUUUAAAUUUUCUUUUCUCUCUCUCUCUCUCUCUUCUUUUUUCUUUCUGAGACAGAGUCUUGCUCUGUCACCCAGGCUGGAGUACAGUGUUGUGAUCUUGGCUCACUGCAACCUCCGUCUCCCGGAUUCAAGCAAUUCUUCUGACUCAGCCUGCCGAGUAGCUGGGACUACAGGCGUGCACCAUGGUGACCAGCUAAUUUUCGUAUUUUUUUUUAGUAGAGUCGGGGUUUCACAUGUUGGCCAGGCUGGUCUUGAACUCCUGACCUCAAGUGAAUUUUUAAAUUUUCUGUAGGAAUGGCAGUCUCACUAUGUUCCCCAGGCUGUCUUGAACUCCUGGGCUCAAGCAAUUCUCCCACCUCGGCUUCCCAAAUUAUUGGGAUUACAGGCAUGAGCCACUGCACCUGGGCAACACCUUGUUUUAAACAACAACAACAACAACAAAACCUCAAUGUACUUAAACAGAAUGGGUCUCCUGGUGGUCCUUAGGUCAUGGGGUGGGGUCAUGAUGCUGUCCAUUAAUGAAAGGGCAGGUGAAAUCUAGAGCAGGAGCUAAGCCUAUCUGAAUCUCAGAGCUGGGCAGCAGAAGAAUCUAUGUCAUGAAAUAAGAGGGACCAGUCCCCACUCUUCUGACCUUAGGCCCCUCCCCUAUUCCUUUAGAAUCAUAGCCUUUCUUCUCUUACCUGUAUUACUACAAAGUCAUCUGUAAGAAGGUACUGGAACUUUCAGGGCUUGAAUAACAAUCUGCCUUAUAGGUUGCAUUAGAGAACAUACAGUAAAGUAUUAUUUGGUGAAGUUAGGGAAUGGAGUGUUCUCGUUAAUCAAAUAAUCUGGUUAACAAAGUAGCACUCAACGUAUAGUAAUAUUUGGGAUAUACUUAUACAGGUUGAGUAUCCCUGACAAAAUAAUCUGAAAUCCAAAGCACUUCUGGUUCCAAGCAUUUGGAUAAGGGAUACUCAACCUAUACUAAAAUUAUUCACUGUUUAUCUGAAAUUCAAAUUUAACAAGGUGUUCUGUAUUUUGUCUGGAGACCUUACUGAUACAGCUUAGAUGUCCUCUCCAAAUCUCAUGUUCAGAUAUAAUCCCCAGUAUUGGAAGUGGAGCCUGAUGGGAGGUAUUGGGGUCAUGGGAGCAGAUCCCUCAUGGCUUCGUGCUGUUCUCACCACAUAAAAGCUUCCUGAGGCCUCCCUAGAAGAGGAGCAGAUGCUGUUGCCAUGCUUCUUGUACAGCCUGCAGAACUGUGAACCAAUUAAACUCUUUUCUUUAUACGUUAUCCAGUCUCAGGUAUUUCUUUAUAGCAAUGUAAGAACAGCCUAAUGGCUGGGCACAGUGGCUUAUGCCUGCAAUCCCAGCACUUUGGGAGGCUGAGGCAAAUGGAUUGCUUGAGCCCAGAAGUUCAAGACCAGUCUGGGCAACAUGACAAGACCCCGUCUCUACAAAAAAAAAAAAAAAAAAAAAAAAAAAAAAAAAAUUAGCCAGGCCUGCUGGCAUGCACCUGUAGUCCAAGCUACUUGGGAGGCUGAGGUGGAAGGGUCCCUUGAACCUGGGAGGUGGAGGUUGCAGUGAGCCAAUAUUGUGCCAUUGCACUCCAGCCUGGAUGACAGAACGAGACUCUGUCUCAAAACCAAACCAACCCAAAAAAAAAAAAAAAAAAAAAAAGAACAGCCUACAGCUGGGCGCAGGGACUCAUGCCUGUAAUCCCAGCACUUUGGGAGGCUGAGGUGGGUGGAUCACCUGAGGUCAGGAGUUCAAGACCAGCCUGGCCAACAUGGUGAAACCCUCUCUACUACAAAUACAAAAAAUUAGCCAGGCAUGGUGGCACACACCUGUAAUCCCAGCUUACUCAGAAGGCUGAGGCCCGAGAAUUGCUUGAACCCGGAAGGCGGAGAUUGCAGUGAACCGAGAUCAUGCCACUGCACUCCAGCUUGGGUAACAGAGAGACUCUGUCUCAAAAAAUAAUAAUAAAAUAAUAAAAAAAAAAUUAAAAAAGAACAGCCUACUACAUUUUCUUGCAGGUCCGGUCCACUGCUAGGAGAUCCAUAUCUACUCUUUGGGAGUUCUCCAGAGGAAAAAAUCAACAGGCGGGAGAAAGAUACUCUGCUAGCUUCAGAUUCAUUAGUACUAGGAAAUGGAGAGAUAGGAGGUAUAAUGUAUUAGGGAAGCAAGGGAUUCAGAACCAGGUGCCCACUGACUCUGAGAAGCACUGGGUGCACAGAGGGUAGCAGACAAGCAAGAGGGUGGAAUUUGCAGCAUCUCAUCUUGGUGAGACAGUUGGAAGACUUUUCUGCCAAUUAUAGUGGUUAAACACUGACUCAACAUCAAACAACGGCAUGAGGGGUCAGAGCCUUCAUUCGUGGACAAGUUUCAAAAACAUGGGAGCACCACCUGUCAUGAGCAAUUUAGUCAGAACAGAAGAGAAUAGAUCACACCCAACAAGACAGAAAAAGCUGCUUUCUGGAGAGGGCGGGAGCUAAUAUUUCCUAACACGGUGAAAUUGUGAAGUGCUUUUUGCAGCCCUUCAUAAUUUCAUCAUCCAAAGGGUUUGCUUUUGGAAUUCUUAGACACUUAAUUCUGUCCCUGCUUUCCGUGUCACUUCCACGGGACACUGAAUUUGGGAAGAGGGAGACCUCACCAAUGAUGGGAAGAACAGAUUGGGGGCUGGCGCCCUUUUGGGUUUGCCAUGUGAACAUCCUCCUGGAACAGUCUCCAUUCUGUCCCAGCAAGACACACUCUGCUCUGUGAAGAACCCAGGUGGGAAAAAAAAAAAAAUCUAUGAGGCCACAGUGGAAAUGCAGCUCAGCAGGACUCUCAGGUACCCCAAAAUUGUCCCAUCUGACAACUCACCACAUUCUAUUUAUUUAUUUAUUUAUUUAUUUUGAGAUGGAGUCUCACUGUGUCACCCAGGCUGGAGUGUAGUGGCGUGAUCUAGGCUCACCGCAGCCUACGCCUCCCAGAUUCAAGCGAUUCUCCUGCCUCAGCCUCCCAUGUAGCUGAGACUACAGGCAUGCGCCACCACACCCAGCUAAUUUUUGUAUUUUUAGUAGAGAUGGGGUUUCGCCAUGUUGCCCAGGCUGGUCUCAAACUUCUGACCUCAGGUGAUCCACCCCCGCCCCUCAGCCUCCCAAAGUUCUGGGAUUACAGUCAUGAGACACUGCACCUGGCCAACACAUUCUGUUUUCAUCAUUAGUGCCUGUCCUCCCUGCUAGCUCAUGGGCUCCCCCAGAGCAGGCAUGUUUGCCCUAGUCACCAUCAAAACUGUCUUAGUACCUGUCACGGUGCCUGGCACAUAGCAGUUAUUCAGUAAAUGUUUGUUGAAUAAAUCAACUAUAAACAUCAAAAUGAUUCCCUUAAAAAGGUCUUCAUUCUUGUUCAGAUGUAGAGAGUUACAUUACAAACACUUGUGUGCUGGGGAUAGGAAGGGACACUGUUGGGUAAUAAUAAGUGCUUGAAACAUGUGGGAGGGCCCUGGAAAAUAGCCCAAAAAGUUCACAUUGUAUCUGAUAAGCAACAGGGAGCUACUGCAGGUUCUUCAGGUCACCAGUAGGCAAGCAGGUGGUGGCUUUCCAGGCUGAAAAGUGUAUUUGAUCUGGAAGAUAGUAGGAUCACAGACAAACAGUGAGUCUUGGAGUAGCCUGAUCACAGUGGCAAGCUCAAGAGACAAUUUUAUGGCUGAGGGCUGAAUGUUUCAGCUGGGUGGGUGUCAAGAAACCAGCAAGACUCCAGGCAUGGUGGCUCAUGCCUGUAAUCCCAACACUUAGGGAGGCCGAGACAGAGGAUCCCUUAAGCCCAGGAGUUUGAGACCAGCCUGGGCAGUAUAAGGAAGCCCUGUCUCUACAAAAAUAAAAACAUAACAAAAUUAGCCAAGUGUGGUGGCGUGUGCCUGUGCUUCUAGCUCCUUCAGAGGCUGAAGUGGGGAGGAUCACUCGAGCCUGGGAGGUUGAGGCUUCACUGAGCUGUGAUCAUGCUGCUGCACUCCAGCCUGGGCGACAGAGUGAGACCCUGUCUCAAAAAACAAACAAACAAACAAGAAACCCAGCAAGAAUUAAGAAUUCUGGUGAGCACUGUUCCCGUGUGACCUCAGAGAGCUGAUAGGCAAUUUGAUGGCAGAGGCGGGGGCCAGUGCAGUCAUGGCCAAAAAUGGCCAGGGAGGAAGAAGAUGCCCUGGGUCUCAGCCCAGAGUCUGGUGUUGGAUGGUGUGGAGAGUAGAAGUGAAGCCAAAGUAAGGUCUGUCUUUCUUCAGAGAGAGCCUCCUAAAGGCAGAGGACAUGUCUUAUCCAUCUACACCCACAGCUCCAAGCGGAGCUCCUUGCCCAGAGAAGCUGCUUAAUAAAUUGACACACGAAUGCUUGGCUGCCUCGCUGGCUCUGGGAGGCAUGGAUGAUGCCAGAGCUUGGGGAGGCCACUGAAGCAGUGUUUAUUGUCCUUUCUCCUCCAACUUCCUCAGUCUACCCUUCUGUGUUGUCCCACCUCUCCUUGAAGCCAGAAGAUGUCCCCAAAGGUUGCUACUCUCCACAUGGACAGCAGCCAGGAGACGCCUGCCCUGCCCCGCCCCUUGCUAGUUGGUGAUGCUGGCCUAGCAAGGCAGGGUCCUGCAGGAUGAAAGCUCGGAGAAGCCAAAACAGGAAUAAUAAUGAUAAUAAUCAGCUGCGGCGUCUCAACCAUCCAGGAAUGCAAGGCUCCACGCCCUGUGUGCCUCACACCCCAGGACAUCGCAAGGGCUCCUCUCCCUUUAUUUUAUUGCAGUGAUCCCACACUGCCAUUCCCAGCCCAACCCAUCUGGAUUCCCAAGAACUGCAGUCCAGCCACCGGCUCAUCCACCACCCAGUUUCCAUGGGAAUAUUCAGCUCCAAGACCUAAGCCAGCAGCAGGGUAAGACGCCCAGCUACUUGGAAACUCGUGCUCCAUGGCUUCUGGGAGAAGCAGUCUGCCCACCCCUGGCCUGGAACGCUUUCCCAUAGACCCAUCUAUGUCUGGUCAAUGUGAGGGCCAGGUACCUUGCUUGUGUCAAUCCAAAUCUGGAUUCAAGUCUGGUCUGGCCUUAAACUAACUCACCACGGGACCCUAGACAGGUUUGGUUUCAUUUUUUAACUUUUUUGGGUUCACUCGCUCUCUUGCCCAAAAGCUUUUCAAGGAUCCCCAUGGCUCAGUGAAGAUAAACUCUGGAUCUAGAGGUCUAGUACGUGGCCAUUUGAAAUCUCGUUCUAAAACACCUUUCCAAAUCCACUCGUCUCCUUCACCUUUGGGAUGCCAGCCAGAAGGAAGUACUCACCGUUGGUCAUGCACAUCCCAUGCUUUUCCAUUUGGGGAUUUUGCUCCUUCUUUGGGAAUGUCAUUCCUUCCACCUCUACCUCCACCUGGCAAGACCCUCCUAGCCUUCAAGGCCCAGGCCAGGGGCCAUCUCCUCCAUGAUUAUGCCUGACCCUCAUCCACCUUGGAACCCUGCUUCCUUUUCCUCAGACCCUUUCAAGCCCCAGUACUCACAUUGUGCUGUGGGUGUGUGCAUAUCUUAAUCAUCAGCAUCCUGAUGUCUCGUUCAUCUCUGUGUCUCCAUGGCGGCUAGUACAGCACCUUGCACACAGGGCAAGGAAUCAAUACAUAAGUUCCAGACAUACAUUGUGGAGAAUAAUCAUCCUCACUCUAUUAAAUCCUCCCACAAUUGUGCUCCAAAAAAUAAAAAUAAUUAUUUUAGGCCAGGUGUGAUGGCUCACAUCUGUAAUCCCAGCACUUUGGGAGGCCAAGGCAGGAGGAUCGCUUGAGCCCAGGAGUUUCAGACCAGCUUGGGCAACAUAGUGGGACCCUAUCUCUACAAAAAAUAAAAUUAGCCAGGCAUGGUUGCACAUGCCUGUUGUCCCAGCUACUCAGGAGGCUGAGGUGGGAGGAUUGACUGAGCUGGGGAGGCAAAGGUUGCAGUGAGCCAAGAUCAUACCACUGCACUCCAGCCUGAGUGACAGAGCAAGACCCUGUCUCCCUAGCUCCAAAAUGUUUAUUUAAUAUAACAUUUCCUGAGUGUGUAUUAUUGGCUUGAGAGAGAAAUAAAGAGUACAAAGGCCAGGAAGGCCCCUUACCCCCACCCCAGCCUCCUCUGUAGGUAGGAUGCAGGUACCCAAGUCUCCAUGAAGACAUCAGCUCUCUGGCUUUGGCUCCUAGGCUGACACUAGGAACCCUUUCCUUGACCAGUGGCUGGUCCAGUUCCAUCUCAGACUCUGUCUAGUACGAGGUGGGUUCUUCCCUU